AUUCUGUGUCUGUGACAGAACAUAAAGAUGAUUUCUCAAAGUUAUCUGCUGAGUUUAUUGUUGCUUUAUAUUCAGGGGUCCUGUGGGCAGAUUGUGAUGACUCAGUUCCCAGAUUCUGAGUCUGUAUCACCAGGAGACAUUGUCACCAUGAAAUGUAAAGCCAGUAGCAGUGUUAGCACCAGUAGAUUACACUGGUACCAACAGAAAUCAGGACAAGCUCCAAAGCUUCUUAUCUAUAGUACAAGCAACAAACACACAGGGACCCCAGACAGGUUCAGUGGCAGUGGGUCUGGUACUGAUUACACUCUCACUAUCAGCGGAGUGCAAGCAGAAGAUGCAGCAGAUUAUUACUGUCAGCAGUAUUACAGCUACCCUCUCACAGUGAUACAGAGCUGUACAAAAACCUGUUAUGUUCCUUUCUCUGGUUGCACUAACUGUGCCCUCUAG